rnacentral:ncRNA from 1 species
UUGUCUUUGGGGCGGGGUGCGAAUCCCCACCGGCGGUAAAGCCCGCAAGCCAUGUUUGGCAUGACUCGGUGAAAUUCCGAGGCCGACCGUAUAGUCGGGAUGAGAAAAGACG